rnacentral:rRNA from 1 species
UACGUAUGGGGCAAGCGUUAUCCGGAUUUACUGGGUGUAAAGGGAGCGUAGGCGGUACGGCAAGUCAGAAGUGAAAGCCUGGGGCUCAACCCCGGAAUUGCUUUUGAAACUGUCGAACUAGAGUGUCGGAGGGGUAAGCGGAAUUCCUAGUGUAGCGGUGAAAUGCGUAGAUAUUAGGAGGAACACCAGUGGCGAAGGCGGCCUACUGGACGGUAACUGAGCGCUGAGGCUCGGAAAGCGAUGGGGAGCAAACAGG